rnacentral:rRNA from 1 species
CAGCAGCCACGGUAAUACAGAGGGUGCAAGCGUUAAUCGGAAUUACUGGGCGUAAAGCGCGCGUAGGUGGUUUGUUAAGUUGGAUGUGAAAUCCCCGGGCUCAACCUGGGAACUGCAUCCAAAACUGGCAAGCUAGAGUAUGGUAGAGGGUGGUGGAAUUUCCUGUGUAGCGGUGAAAUGCGUAGAUAUAGGAAGGAACACCAGUGGCGAAGGCGACCACCUGGACUGAUACUGACACUGAGGUGCGAAAGCGUGGGGAGCAAACAGGAUUAGAUACCCGUGUAGUCCCUGUCUCUUAUAC